rnacentral:misc_RNA from 1 species
CUGCAGUCGCCAUUCGUCAUUGUUCGUGUCAAGUUCGUGCUCGUAAUCGAGCUAAUCGCGAACGAAUGUAGAUUGUAGACCUAGAAUUUUUUUAUGUGUGCUCUCGUUCCACUUUUCAGUUUUCGUUAAUUCUACUAUUAAAUUUCUUAGUUCUGUGUUCUCUUGUGCUGUGCUUUCUAAAAUAGUGAAACAAAGGCUGUGCGUGCAAAGUGGUUUGUGAAUAUGUCACAGCUAACAAAUCCUUGAAAAAAAUAUGAGUGUUAGUGUCGAAGACGUGUCUAGUCCUUUAUCGGAAGGACCGAGCAGCAUCAUCGAGGCGAAUAGUCCGUCAGAUGAUAGCAAAAAUGAGUUCGUCGACACAGUUGAGGAAGGUCAGGAAAAGUCUGAGAAAUCGGAAAAUUCCGAGCCUUCAACACCGAAACCUCAUCCGAUGGCUUUCACAAUCGACUUCGGGAACUCUAAACAAGUUGACAAUCGACGACUUGAAGAGUUAGCGAAGAAGUCUCAGGCAAGACAUCAAAGAGUACAGUCCAUGUCUGCAGGUGUGUCUAGGCCUAGUCCGAUUCAGUCUCAGAGACCACCCCUAAGCGCCAAGCUGCCUCGCAAAGCCCAGGGCUACAACUCGGAAGGCUAUUUUUCCUCUGACCAAGAGGACAGUGGCGUUUCCGGCUCUGUUAAACUUCGUAACAGCCCGCUAGCCCAGAGUGUCGAUAGACCAAAUUACACCAGCCCUAUUGUAAGUAGACCAAUCAAAUCCCCAGUGAACGACACUUUGCUGCCGAAACGUACGUCAAAAAGUCCGAUGGUCGACAGUAUUAUGUCAAGGAGUGAUUACAUCCCUCGACAAUCCCUCAACCUGCCACUAAAAAGUUCCAACAGUUCCUAUAUUCAAAACGUCCAUAGAACACCGAGUUACGGGAACCUAAACUGCCACAAACACGUCAUGGCAGACAUAAUAGACAGGAGUCCAGAAGGGAUGAUGUUAACAGACAUUUCUAGUCCAGAAUUAGACAUUCUCACCCCAGAUAACGGUCUGUCCACGCCAGAGCAUUCCAAAAGCCCUUUACGCAAGUCUAGAGCCCAGUCAGAAACCCCAGAUUUGUUGUUCAAAAAGUGUCCUUUGAAAUCUGAACCUUUAUACAUUGAUGACGAGGACAAUGAGUCAAAUCAUUCUUCAACUGGCACCUACACCAUUGAAGGCGACAAUUACACAGAGGAGCAGAAAGCUAGAAUGAGUAUAGACAGAACAUUGGGUUUAGAUCUGUACAGUGAACCUGUUGACAUGAUAAAAAGCCACUGCAGUAUAGAUAAGGAUCCAGAACUAGUGUUUGAGUACCCAAAUCUGCAAAGAGUGAUCACAAAAGAACCAAGGAGAGAUGUAUGUUUAAGAAACCCCUUAUCAACAAAUAAGACUGGUGAUUUACAAAAAGUUUCAAAAGACAAGAAUGUAUUGGAAAUAUCCUGCUGCUACGAAUCCCCUAAUGAAACUGACUUGGCUGUGCAAACAACGAAACAGAUUAAAUCUACUAGAAGUUACUUGGAGAAAAUCAAAAACAGAGUCAGGACAAUAACUGAAAAGACAUUCUCAAAAUCAGCUCACGAGGAAAACUUUGAUGCUGGUACAUUUACCUCGGUUACUACAUCAGGGGUAUUGAGUUCCAAAUUUCCAUUUAAAGUUGAGAUGCCGAGUCGAAGGCGAUGUAGCUUAACAAAAUCGGAUGUCGAUCAAACAGAUUACGUACAUAGAUUAUCACGGGAGUCAUCCGUGCCUGUAUCGCUACUCGGCAAAAGUGUUGACGAAGUUAAAUUUGAAAGUACAGCAUUGAAGAAUGCUCAAAAAGCUUUAAUUACUAACACAGAGGUUUCCCCAGAUCAAGUCGUUGGGAAGUUAUCAUAUAUGAGCUUAAAUAGGUGUAAGGGUGAUAAGACUUGGAUACAAGACUGGGCAGACAGCGUCAAAAAGUACAAUAAUAACUCAUUGGUUAAUGAAACAGACUUGAAUUCAACUUUUGCUAGUGAAGACCGUCCACCAAUCAGCCCGAGAUUAAUACCCACUAAACCCCGCAGCCCGCACGGCACGCCUACCAAGAUACCCAGCCCUGUGGGGACCCUGCUACACCGCAGGACACCAGACUUGAUACCGCCACAAGACACGGAAUCUUACUUACUAAAAACGCAAAACGCCAUCACCAACCUUCAAGCCAAGCUGCACUCCUCGCGGAAUCCCACCAUCACGACCAUGACGAAUAUCCCCAGCAUUCCAAACGCACUCACCACCAGUCUACUCAGCGAGAAGACCCUGGUCUCCAGGCUUCCGCUGUCUCAGCUCAGCCGGUCCAAUUCACUCAACUACCGCCUCAGAAGGAAAGACACUUCAGGCGAUAGCAGCCCGCUGAGAAGUCCAGGACAUUAUGUAAUAACAGGGUCGUCAAAAACACCAGAAACAACAAAAGUCCUAAUAAACACAGCGUCCAAAUCUCUGGACCAAGAAACGAGGGACGUCCGCCACGAUUCCAACAUGAACAGUCCAAGCUCAGACAGGGGUUUGCUUAGCAAUAGUUCCGAUGACAAAACCCUAUCGAACAGGCCACAAUACGACGUAGAAGCUAUUCUGUCGCCGCACAGAAAAACGCACUCAAGGCACAGAUCCUUCGACAGGAACCCGAUAGAAAUCACUAGCGAUUUGAACUUGAACAACGCGCAACCCGUGUGCCUUAAGACAGUAUUGAAAAACAACGCGUUAGAGGUGAAAUCCUACAGAAUCGAUCCAACCCGUUACCAAGGAGACAUCAAGAAAAUUCACCAAAGGGUGUACAGUGACAGAGCGAGAACUUUCAACCCUCCAGCGUUUGGCUCAUCGAUCAAACGGUCCAGCUCCUUCAACACGGUCAACAGAAACAAUAACAUAGAUCCGAGGUUAGUUUCAAGGAGAUCGAGCGGUCAGUCUGAGGAGUAUAAGGAUUCGGAUGAAUCUGACAACGGGUCGUUCGACAAAUCCCAGGAUGUCAGAUUCAAAAGGCCGUUGCAUAGAGGGAGAGUCGAGGUGGUUCCGUCCAAUUCGCCGAGAUGUCCGAACACGCCGGAAAUGCAGAGGAAAUUCGGACCGGGGUUGGUUAGGAACUCCGUGAGAGUCACCACCAAGGAGCGCGGGCUGAACACGAGAAUGUCUGAGCCGCCUGUGGCCAGGGAGGACAGGAGUAAGCCAGCUAGUCAUCAGAGUAGAAGGAUAUCAGAACCCACGAGGCAGGCGGUUUUGAAUAGGCUCACCAAAUCGAGGUCUUCCACUAGGGAAGUCCAUCCGAAGAUUCAGGAUAAAGGCCAAAAGAAACCGAGCCAGCACAGAUCGUCCUCCGCCCUCGCGUCUAAAGAGCUGGAGUUCUCCAACUGGAAGAAGAGAUCCUCGUACGAUCCCAUGAAGGCGGCGCAGGAGGGCAGGAAGAGACAGCAGAUAGCCCGGCGACCCGAGUGCAACAAGGACGACCUUAGUUCGCCGAGCCAUUCCUCACCAGUGCACAGAUCGCAGUCGUUCCACACCACCAACAUUGCGGACCUGACCCUGGACUACUCCUCCGAGGAGACGGAGGACGACCAGCUCAUGUCCACGCUGCCCGUCGACCCCAUGAUCACCUCCACGCACUCCGACAUCCUGGACUUGAGGAAGGAUCUACGGAGGCAGGUCAAUGAUGUCGUGCUAGCCAGAGACUAUGUCACCAACUUCCAUGUCAACCAACCACCCGAGAAACUGAAACGCCCCACCAAUCGCAAACAGUACGAGGAGACCACGCCCACCAAAGAGGACUUCACCGACAAGCGCAAGACGUUCAUCCUCGACAGCGACACCAACUCCACCACCAACGGCAGCAGUCCGCGGAACUCGUCCAUCUUCAGCCACGAGAAGAACUCGCUGCACGCGAGCGACACUGAGGACAGCGGGCCCGAGAGCGCGCCCGUCGUGAUGCGGCACGGGAAGCGGGCGCCCCCGCCGCCCAAGCAGAGGUACAGCGGGGACUACUCGAUGUCGUCCUCCACGACGUCCAUAAGUAAAAAGCCCAAAGAGAUCCAGCCGAGGUACCUCGACAUAUCCAAGUACAAGUCUGAGAACUCGCCCAAGAACUUCCUGAGGCGGGACCCGAGCAAGACGUACGUCGGUGUACUGGCCAAUUGUGAGAAGCGAGAAGUUAGCAAAGGAAGCGCUCAGCAUUAUGAAAUGGAACAAAAGAAGCAAGAAUUAGAGAAGUGGAAAAGAAGAGCAUCGUACGACCCGCGGAAGGCGGCCGCGCAGGGCAAGGCCAAGCCAGUGCCCAAGACUGCCAGAGCGUGACAGAUGUCAAAAUGCAUGCAUUUCUGGAUAUUGUGUGUCACGGGCAGCCAUCUUGUUAAGCAACGUCCUCCGCUCGCAGUCGUUCCACGGGCCGGUGCUGUCGCCCAACCCGCGGUACCAGCCGCCGACGCUCAUAACGGAGACAU